rnacentral:misc_RNA from 1 species
AAAAAGGAUACCGGGCAACCGGUAGACCCCACCCGUGUCUAUCUACUCUUGUUGCUUUGGCAGGCCGUGGCCUCCACCGUGGGCUCUGCCUGCGUGUGCCUGCCAGAGGACCAAACUCUGAAUUUUAGUGAUGUCUGAGUACUAUAUAAUAGUUA